AUGUACAGACUUAGAGUCGAAAGUUAUGGAUUGUACUUACUGAUAUUGAAUGUACACAAUACGUUUGAUAUAGCAACAAGUAGAAUCUUUAAGUUACAAUAUGCACCUAUAGUACCACUUGGCUGAAGUAAAGUGGAAAAUGGUGUUAUCUGGCAACCAUGUAGAAAUUUAUGCAAGUGUGAUUUACAAAAGAUGUAACUCAAUAUUUCUUCUGUAUAUCCGAUAAGAAAAUAUAUCUUCCUUGGAAUGAGAGCCUGCUUGAUGAGUCCACCAAUAAAAAUCAUGUUAUGCC